CCGUUGUCCCAAGAAAAUCCCAAUGAAAUGGAUAAUAAACAUUCAACAACCUGUUGAAUGAAUACAUUCUAAUUUACAGAUCUAUGUUUUUCGUGACUGCACUAGAAAUGUGUUCAGAGUCGGUAUCAAUGUGACGAUGUCUCAGAGUUUGAUUUGUGUCAACUAGGCUAAGAGUAUUUUCACUGACCUAUACGGAGGUCCACCAUUCCUACGACUUAAAUCAGAUGCCUAGUCUGCCCAGAAUCGCUGUUGAAAAUCCAGCUCUAAUAAAGGUGUUGAAACAAGGCUGCCAUUUGGAAACGAUAUCAUUGCUUCAUUAUAACAAGACGCUAUUUCAGUUUCGGAUGGGAAAAAUCAAAUAAGGCUCUGAGAAAUUCGUCUUGAACUAUUUUCAAGUGCAUUCUGACCUUCGGAAGAUAUUGCAAGUGAAGCAUGCUGCUGCUGUUAAAAGUGAUGUUCUCAAAUUGUAUCACAUCACCAUUGGCAUACAAUUUUCUAAAGAAGUGUUCAAAAUAUUUGUAGAAAAUCAAAUGUCUUCGAUGUCAAUUAAUCACAUAUGGUUGCUCUGCUUUAUUCAAUUUUCCGAAUUAUUGGAUUUUCAAGCCUAUUUAGUACAGAUAAAACGAAGAUUUAUCUGAUAAAAGAUAUUUUCACAGCUUUCUUUUAUGAAAGAUAUGGCGGUAGAUGAACUUUGUUUUGUUGAAUUAAUUGUUUCAGUGUUGCACAUUUCUUAUUCCGACAUUAUUUGAGCGCAAUGAUUUAACAGCAUAUGGGACAUUUAUUUUAAAGACCACAAAAUAGAAAUGGAAUUUUGCUUGGUUUCUUUGUUGAUAAGCG